UUCCUUUUCUUCUACCGCAAUUCGCCGCUGUUGCUGAGAUUCUUACGGCCGUUUCUCUACACCGUUUUCUCCUCCAAUUGAUUCUUGCUUUAUCUCUCUCUCUCUCUCUCGCCCUCUCCCUCACAUGCAAUUUUCAGCCUAAUUUUUUUUUCCCCUGUAAUUCCUUUCUCCUUCCCCUGUAAUUCCUUUCUCCUUCCCCUGUAAUUCCUUUCUCCUUCUUCCGAAUCUUAGUGACGUUUUCCCGCGUCACCCUCUAUGUUUUCCUUCUGCUUUCUAUUCGUGGUUGCAGGAAAAGAAAAACCUUCCAUGGCCGCCGCGUGUAAUUGCAUCUAUGUACGAAGAAACUUUUUUAUUCCACUAUAUUUAGCAUUUUAAUUCGGUUCAUAUUUUUCCUAUUUUUUCGGUCAAUAUUGAUUCGGUGGAUCUGACGAUGCUCUUGCAGCCCCUUGUAAUAUUUUUUUUUAUGGGCUCCUAUCGGAAUUUGCUUCUCCUGAUUAAGGAUUGUUUGAUAUUUGCUCAAUAAAAUGUAAUUUCCUUUUUAAGAGCACAACAAUCACAUUUUACACUGUAUGAUUACUUUUAUGAUGAGAAGCAAGUAUAUCUGAUUCUAGAAUAUGCUGGCAAGAGAGAACUCUACAAAGAGCUUCGGUUUGUAACUUCACUUUCGCGAAUGGUCUGGCAAGUUCCCAAGGGGAAUAUUUCCUUGAUUUUAUACGGAAACAACUUUGAUGAUUUCCAAUGAUGGUAGCAACUGAUUAUGGAGCAUUGACAAUUUGAGGCGUAUAUUUCAAUCCUUUGAAUUUUAUUUUUUUCCUAUCUAGAAACUUAAAUCUUUUGUCUCAAUUCUUUUCAGACCUGAUGAUUCGUCCAUUGGCUUUGGUGCCCUUGUUCGGGCAAAUAUAAGAAUAGUCGGAGAUGUUACAAGUGCUACUGUAACAUCAUCGUUGCUAGAAACUAUAAGCUUCAAUACAUUCUGCUAAACAUUAUAUUUAGAAACAUGACUACAUGCAAUAAAUAUUUUGUGUUAUGUAUUACGCUGGAAAAGAGUUUGCAUAUGUAGUUGCAUUUUGUAAGAUUUGAAGAAGAGCAGUACAAAAGAACAAAUUUCUUAUCUACAGUCUACAGUUCUUGAAGCUCAUGUUGAAUAUGUGGUUUCUCUAAAUUUUGUUUCUACGGACUAUAAAGGAAUAAGAUCUUCACCGUUGCUUGCUGCCGUUUUCCAUUUUUUUCUUUGUUUUAUCUGCAAUGUAGUGAUUUUAUUGUUGUAUGGUUAAAUAGAUCGGGCACCGGCGCCGCGCCUUGCGCGGAGCCCCACCCCU